AGCAAUUUGGGGCUAUUGCCUUCACCUGAGCACAGGGGCUCUGCAAUGCUGAAAACAACAGUGAACAGGUGAAAACAGCCUGACCUGGAGCUGGCAUCCUACCAAUUGCUGAGCAGCAGAAAGUCAAAAGGGGCUUCCUUUUUGGCUGGUGAUGGGAAUGGCUGCAACUCCCACAUCAGAGAGCUGCUGGCAAGGCUGGAAGAGGACUGAGCAGCUGAGAGAGCCCAGAAUUCAUCCUGGGGGUUGGGAACUCCUGCAGCAGCAGCAGGCUGCCUGCUCUCCUCUGUUCAGAGCAUCUCAAAGGACAGCUGGCUUCUGAGAGGAGGAGGACUGACGAGCCCCUGAACCCCACAGCACACCUGGCACACCACCCAGGACCGGCAGAGACCUUGCAAAAAACAAGGUACAGGUCACACUGUCGCUUCUCCCACCGAGAGUUAAGCCGCUUCCUCUGAGAACAACCUGAAACUCCUCUGGAGGGGAAAGCAAACACACAAGAUCACCAAACUGCAGUGCACUGCAGAAAGCUGCACUUAGACCAGGGCAACUUCGCUUAGUCUGCAAUAAACAAAGCACAACAUAAUUAAUGCUUCCAACUUAGUGAGAUCUCCUUUUUCCUGAACCUUUGUACUGAAUUCUCCUUAUAAAUUGGCAGAGGUACGAUUUGUUCCCAAAUCUCUAUUGAGACAGCCCUCUGAAACCGGAAGUAGAUUCAGGCUAUCAGCGUGAUCUGGGGCUCAGCUGCACAGUAAGACACAGUUUCUUGGUGAAUGAGAAAUGAGAAAUAGGGGACUCAGAACAAGAAGAAGACUCCCCAAACCAGAUCAGGCUCACUUGAGGUACCAGAUGAAGAAAACAUUUCUCCUUAGUACUAUUUCUCUGCAAGUUGCCCAAGGGCCAUGCUCUCUGUGAGCUGUGCAGAGGAGGAGUGAAGAGGUUUUUUACCAGCGCUGCUGACUUCAUCCAGAGCAUCCACGUUUUCACAAAAAUAUCCAAGUAAUGUUUAGCAACUACGUUAUUUUGAUGGAUCUCCAACUAUGUGUGGAUUAUGAAGCUUAGAAAGAAGACAAGGCCUUAAAAUUCUGUGCAGCUCUUCUAUUUCAUUAAUAUAUUUCUGUUGCUGCCCAAAAAUGCAGUCACGUGCUUUGUUCUUACACUCCACAGAUUUUGGGGCAGAUUUGACACAAGUGCAGAGCAGACUCAUGGGAGAGGGGCAGAUAAAUGCUCUCCAACCUCCACCUGCAUUACACAAGGUAUGGAAGGAGGCCCUGGUGGACAGCUCUUCUGAGGAGAACAAGAAGGCAACACAGAAAUCUCAUGUUUCUUUAACUUGAGGACUUAAGUUAGAAAUGCUUUAUUCCUUUGCAUAAAAUAGGGGGAAAUCACAGUCCUAUAAUAAUGGAACAGAAUAUUAAAAUUAUAAAAUCUUACCUCCUACACAGACACUGGAUGGCUCCAAAUAUAAAAUCUCAGUGCAGGAUUGUUUCAAAACCUAUUGCAAAGGAGGAAAUAGUCACAAAUAGGUUUCAUAGCACUACUUCAAUGAGCAAUCUUAGUUUAAAACAAAUGCUUUUCCAUAGAACACACAUAGAGCUACAGGUUUGGUUUGCUAAGUCUGACUUUGCAGGACACUCCCUGGAGCAUGAGCAGCUCUUGCACACCUGCACAGUCAAGUCUAGCAGUGCCUAAGGCUUGGAUUAGUUUGUUAAACCCUGGAGUACCUUUGAAAUAUAACGAUGUCCAGAUCCCUAUCCUGAUUUUCCAUGCACCUCAAUCCUAAUGUUUAAGCCAAAAAUGAAUCACAAGGAGCCUGAUCCAAAACCUAAUCCAGUGAAAAGCGGUGUUCCAACAAUGAAGCCUGGGCCAGCCAAGUGCACGUUAUUGCUGGUGCUGGCACCUUGCCCUGCGUGGUGAGGCAGAGUGACAGCGGUGUUCCUGACUGCACUGCCUGCCCUUGGACAGGAAUCUCACUUCAGCUCUCCCUGCUGUAUGUGGUGUUUUUAGCAGUCAUUCCUAAACAUUCUGUGGCAUCAGUUCAGCUCCCUGCAAUCACGUGCACAGCAGAGAGUCCUGUUACUGUCCCCUCUCUAGCUCCACUUGCCAGGUGUGUGCCUGCUGCUGAGCUGCCCUGACUUCCUAGGCAUGUCCCUCUGUCUUACUCUCAACUCCUGCCUUCCUCUCAGUAGGACUCCUUACACUCUGUGCUGUUUCCCAGUGGUUUCUGUUGCUACAUACCCAGGCCCAGCAGAAACAAUCAUGCGGGCACUGUUCUGACAAGAAGCACGCCAAGCUCCAAGAAAGAGAGAAGCCUCGCUGAACACUUCCCAUGUUGCCACUCUCCCCACAAACUGUUAUGCACAAAUUCAUCUUUUAGUGCUUUAAAACCCAUGUUAAAAAUUAAGUGGUAUUUUAAAAAAUGGAGACGUGCAUUUGAAUGAGAUGCAGCAACAGAGAUCUUAGGAAAGAAUGUAGCCCAGAGUUCACUGCAAGCCAAGCAGUUCACAUUAGCUGAGGAUCUUGCUUCCAAAAAAGGGCUUUAGCCUCUUGAUUCCUAUUGCAGUGUGGAGAGAAGUUAUCCGUGGCUUGGCUGGGGGCUGGGGAAUAUUUUGUAUAGCGUUUUAUUCCUUUGCUGUAAAAGCGUGUUCAGUUGUUUUCACUGAAGAGUCAGAUAAAUAGCUCAAGUGAAGCUGAGACUAGAUGCCAGUUUUAUGUGAAGCACAGAUUGAGCAGUUGGCACAGAAUUUGGUAAUUUUGUUUUUAGAGGGAGAACUUUCCAACCCCUGUCCUGGCCCCAUUUGCCCAGUGUUUGAGGAAAGGUCACUGGUAUGACCUGGAGGUUGGGGAGAGGGAAAGACAGUGUGGGACUUCCCUUGCAAAUCAGUAGUUCUCUGGUUUCAUUACAUCCCAGGGUGAAUUUUCUAACACUGUGCUUCCAAAUGCAAUAUAAAUCAGGAAAAAACCUACCUGGAUAUAUUUAACUACCUUUGGAUUUAGGAACAAACUGGGAGGGGCAGACAUGACAACUCCAAUUGAGCUGAAAUACGGUGUAGCUAAAAUGAUGACAAAUCACGAAAAAACCAAAUUUCAAUGCAAGGGUCAGGAUACACUGACUUCCUGCAUGGAAUCCAUUUUCAUGCAUGCUCUUGGCUAAAGCAGAAAAUACCAGAUGUUAAUACUGCUCUAGAAAUAACUGCUUCAACAAUAAUUUUUCGUAAUUAUUCACUGCUGUCCUUUGCUUAGCUUAAGCAAGCUGUACUGUUUAGAGACCAUCUCUUUGCAAGGUUGGCGGCCUAAUUCUACCAUUCCCCCCCAGACAAAUCUUCUAUUGGGGUGAAAAAACCUCUGAGACUACUCAAAUUUGGCUUUGUAAGUUUGUCAGGUUGUUUGCUAUCCUUCAAAAAGCCUCCUGAUAGUCCACACUUGGGGGGGGGGGAGGGGGAAGAUAAUGGUAAUGUGCCUUGUCCCUAAAAGCCCCUCCCCUCAAGGACUGAGUGGAUUCAGGUGGAGCCCAUCAGAAGCUCAUAGAUCCGGCUCUUUGCUUAACCUCUGCUGGCUCUCUGGGUUCUCCUUAACACUCCCCCUAAGCAACACUGAAACACUGCUCAGAACUGAGCUUCCCCAGAGUUAAACAGAAGCCAUCACACUCUCUGCAGGUCCAAGCCCACCAGCUGUCCUGAGCACCAGCCCUGGGUAGGGUUUGGCUGACAAGGAUUCUGCCACCACCAUGGGAAACUGAGGAUAUUUUCAAUACAGCAAUUGCCACAUGUGCUUUCAUGUGUGGGGGAAAUGAACGUAUUUGCACAUCUUAGGAGAAGGCCUGGCUUUACCAGAGAGAACCAAUUUCCAACAACCCCAAGUGCAAAAUAGAGUAGAAACCUGUCAGCCUUUGUCCUGCUGUCCUGCAGCUUCAGCAGUGGAGAGCUGUGCUAAGACUGGAGGGUGUUCAGUGCCUCCUGAGGCGACCUGUGCAGUGUGGGAAUGGUGCCAGCUGCAAGCCCAGUCUAUCAGGUGAAGUGGCCACAGCUGUGACUCGUUAACAAAGGUGUGGCUGCUGGGACAGGAGAAGGCAUCGCAGUUCUGUUCUUGGACUGUACAAAAAUGAGACAUCCUCUUGUCCAAAAGCAACACAACAGACUGCUGAGGAAAUGAUUCUGUAGCUUCUCCAUGUUGAGGACUUGUUACAUUGCUGCCACACUACUGCAGCAGCAGCAACCAAGGAUCUUAUGUUUUAAACCCUGGUGUUUUUUAGGGCCAGUUCUGAGAGCAGCCAGAACCAGUGGCACAAAUGCAGCUUGUGCUCCACACUGACUCUGAUGGAUGCAGGCAGGGCAGCCUCCCACCACUCCUUCAGUAAAAUCCCUUCUUACAGCUCCUGAGUGAACCCUGUGCAGUUCCUAUGGCAUCUCUCAGUAAAGCAAGUUGAUCAUUUCAGAACACUUCUGAGAGUACAAGCUACCAGAAGAGAGGCACCCAAGAUACCUGGGGACACUCUCAAGCCAACUCACCCUCGAUGCAAGCUUGCUGGUACGCCUUGGGCCCUACCUGCCCAAACAAGCUUUUCUUUGCUGACAGGGUCGCCUGUCAAUCAGCUGUUGGGCUGCCCAGCUCCUCUGGGAACACCAUGGCCAUCCCAACUGUGGCUGUGGAGCUUUAAACCACCUGUCUCCAGGCUAUUUCAGUGGCUUACAAGUAAGCAUACAUGUCAAUCUUCCUAAAACAGUUGUAUGAAGUUCAUUUAUCAGGUCCACUUACCAUUACCAAAAGCUUUACCAGCUUUUCCAUGUGACCCCAUUUUCACCUAGUGCAUUUUUCCCAGACUUUCCUGAUUGUUAAGGAAUACUUAAAAUCCACAUCUGUCCUCAUGGCUUUCUACGUGCUUCUCACUAGAAGGUUUCUGAAGGCUCACAGAAACUUCAGUGCACUGUUUCUGAAGCAGUAUUUCUGCUAUUUCUGUCAUUACUAACACAUUUCCUCCCACCACAGCUGUUGGAGAAACUCUGCCUGUUUCUGACCUGCAGGUGUCUGCACUGACCGCACACCGGGGUGUUGUCAGCCCCCAGCUGCAGCAACACCCCACACCCAAAUUCUGACAUCAGCACUGAAAGGGCAGAUGUCCCUGCAGCACACUGCACAAAGGCAGCCAACUAACAGGCUGACACCAAGCUCUCCACUGCUCAUGGUCUUUGUAAACUCCACCUCUGUUUAUCAAUUCUGCCUUGCCAGAGAUCUUUCCCCUACUUUAUGCAACAUUUCUUCUUGUGGAAAAUGUGCUUUCUGGACCUUCCAAGACCUCUUUAGCCUGUCACAGACCAGGCGUGGCUCUGCCUGGACUCUCUUUUCACCCUCACUGCUGCCUCUUACAAGUUCUCAGUGUUUAACAGCAAAGCAGGAUGGCUCCUGCAGCUUUUUGAGUAUUUAGCCUGCCAUUCCCUCAGCACAUGCUGUGGAACAGAGCUGUACCAGGCGGCAAAGUGUUACACAAACAACUUUCCCUUCCAGAACACUAAUGAAGGUUGUGUUCCAUGGAAUAGUGAGAACAAUGCACUAGUAACAAGCCAUGAGCAGCCCAACCAUACAGACACAAUUAACAAAAUACGCUAAGCGUCAAUUUGUCUUGCAACCUUGCUCAGUUUCAUUUAGCCCUGUAUGCAGUUCAAAAGUUUUUGGCAGCAGGCAGCACCAUAAAUCAUAACUUGCAUGGCAUCUGUUCCUGCCCAGAACUGUAAACUGCAUUCAGGGUUUGGGUAGUCAUCAUCACAGCUGGAUUCUUCACUGAACCACUGUAAUGGUUCGAAGUCUUGAAAGUGCUCUAUGGCUGUGUAAAGCAUUUGCUUCCUGGGACAGAGGUCAGAAUAACCAGGAACUGCUGGAAGGAGUCAGCUGCUGACACAUUCUGGUCAGAUCUGGCAUGCUAACAACUCUGAAUAAAUAAGGAUUUCUAGGGUUACCAGUGGCCUUUCCUCCCUGUGGAUCCAUUCAAACUUGCACCUCUGUUUACAUCAGUGCUCACCGUAAGCUGACCACAAAUCAGGCUGCUGUGAUUUUUGGGGAAAGGCAGCCUGAGUCUCCUGAACCAAGCCAAUGUCCCGUAACAGAGCAAAUGCAUCCAACUUGCUAUUUUCAGAACCUGUUUUGAAAGAAGAGAAAAUGUUGACCUUUACAAGCUCAUCUUUGUUCUACUGCUGUAUGGCAAGGCUUGUGCAAAAUCCGAGAGCACAACAGGAUGGCUUUCACACUUUGUGUGUGCACAGCUAACACCCCUGCAGCUUUAUCCCCUGGUGGGCACAUGAAGGCAUCCUGGAGUGCAGUCCAUGGACACACUGCCAGCCAGAGAUGGCAGCACAGCCCUGAAAGCACCCUUGCACAGCAGCCUCAGCUACUAUUGCCUGCAGCUCUUUCCUGUGGAGAUUCCUUUUCUUUCCUCUCUCCCUCCCAAACGUGGAGUCUGUAAUUUUCUCUAGGGAUGCUACAAGCAGAACAGCUGGUGAACAAAAUUGUAAACUCAAGGAAAACAGAGCUAGAAACUAAGCACUGUUGAUGGUAUGACAGGCCAUGAGGAUGUGCUUUCCUCUUGUACUCUGCCAAGCUCCUCCCUCAGGUAACCACAAAACCAGCCUCAUCAAGAGCGGCAUCUCUCAUCAGGAUGCAUAUUUCAAGACAGUGGUAAGCAUAUAUCUCAUGUACUUGUCACUGCAACACAUGGAUUGUC